rnacentral:rRNA from 1 species
UACGGGGGGGGCAAGCGUUGUUCGGAAUUACUGGGCGUAAAGGGCUCGUAGGUGGCCAACUAAGUCAGACGUGAAAUCCCUCGGCUUAACCGGGGUACUGCGUCUGAUACUGGAUGGCUUGAGUUUGGGAGAGGGACGCGGAAUUCCAGGUGUAGCGGUGAAAUGCGUAGAUAUCUGGAGGAACACCGGUGGCGAAGGCGGGUCUCUGGGCCGAUACUGACGCUGAGGAGCGAAAGCGUGGGGAGCAAACAGG